AGCCAACGCCACAGCGCUGCGUGACUGGCCAGGUCAUACAGGCCAAGGGAAUUCCUGAAGAAGUCCCCAGUGGACGCGUUGACGACGUGCAUCCUCUGAGGACUUCCUUGGUUUUGGUACUGGAUUUCUACAUAAAAAAGCCCAAUUCAACACGGAAAGUGACGUCACGACUACACUUACGUCACGAACCAUGUUCAUCUUGGCUGUGCUGGUCGCGCUCGUGGCGAUCAAGCUAAUCCAGAUCACACGGGCGGUGACGGCGGUGGCAGAAGGACGCCCCCUUACAUCUUUAUUCGACCCUUUGCAGGUUGGUGAACGGAAGUUCAUUCCUAAAUACUUUUUCGGCCCC